rnacentral:rRNA from 1 species
CCGACGGGAGCUUGCUCCCUUAGGUCAGCGGCGGACGGGUGAGUAACACGUGGGUAACCUGCCUGUAAGACUGGGAUAACUCCGGGAAACCGGGGCUAAUACCGGAUGCUUGAUUGAACCGCAUGGUUCAAUCAUAAAAGGUGGCUUUUAGCUACCACUUACAGAUGGACCCGCGGCGCAUUAGCUAGUUGGUGAGGUAACGGCUCACCAAGGCGACGAUGCGUAGCCGACCUGAGAGGGUGAUCGGCCACACUGGGACUGAGACACGGCCCAGACUCCUACGGGAAGCAGCAGUAAGGAAUCUUCCCGCAAUGGACGAAAGUCUGACGGAGCAACGCCGCGUUGAGUGAUGAAGGUUUUCGGAUCGUAAAACUCUGUUGUUAGGGAAGAACAAGUACCGUUCGAAUAGGGCGGCACCUUGACGGUACCUAACCAGAAAGCCCACGGCUAACUACGUGCCAGCAGCCGCGGUAAUACGUAGGUGGCAAGCGUUGUCCGGAAUUAUUGGGCGUAAAGCGCGCGCAGGCGGUUUCUUAAGUCUGAUGUGAAAGCCCCCGGCUCAACCGGGGAGGGUCAUUGGAAACUGGGGAACUUGAGUGCAGAAGAGGAGAGUGGAAUUCCACGUGUAGCGGUGAAAUGCGUAGAGAUGUGGAGGAACACCAGUGGCGAAGGCGACUC